rnacentral:rRNA from 1 species
UGCAGUCGACGGUAACAUUUCUAGCUUGCUAGUAAGAUGACGAGUGGCGGACGGGUGAGUAAUGCUUGGGAACUUGCCUUUGCGAGGGGGAUAACAGUUGGAAACGACUGCUAAUACCGCAUAAUGUCUUCGGACCAAACGGGGCUUCGGCUCCGGCGCAAAGAGAGGCCCAAGUGAGAUUAGCUAGUUGGUAAGGUAACGGCUUACCAAGGCGACGAUCUCUAGCUGUUCUGAGAGGAAGAUCAGCCACACUGGGACUGAGACACGGCCCAGACUCCUACGGGAGGCAGCAGUGGGGAAUAUUGCACAAUGGGGGAAACCCUGAUGCAGCCAUGCCGCGUGUGUGAAGAAGGCCUUCGGGUUGUAAAGCACUUUCAGUUGUGAGGAAAAGUUAGUAGUUAAUACCUGCUAGCCGUGACGUUAACAACAGAAGAAGCACCGGCUAACUCCGUGCCAGCAGCCGCGGUAAUACGGAGGGUGCGAGCGUUAAUCGGAAUUACUGGGCGUAAAGCGCACGCAGGCGGUUUGUUAAGCUAGAUGUGAAAGCCCCGGGCUCAACCUGGGAUGGUCAUUUAGAACUGGCAGACUAGAGUCUUGGAGAGGGGAGUGGAAUUCCAGGUGUAGCGGUGAAAUGCGUAGAUAUCUGGAGGAACAUCAGUGGCGAAGGCGACUCCCUGGCCAAAGACUGACGCUCAUGUGCGAAAGUGUGGGUAGCGAACAGGAUUAGAUACCCUGGUAGUCCACACCGUAAACGCUGUCUACUAGCUGUGUGUGUCUUUU